GGGGAUGUGUUGGAAUUGGCAGACAAGCAUGUCUUAGGAACAUGUACCGCAAGGUGUAAGGGUUCGACUCCCUUCAUCCCCA
rnacentral:tRNA from 1 species